rnacentral:rRNA from 1 species
CCUACGGGAGGCAGCAGUGGGGGAUAUUGCACAAUGGGGGGAACACUGAUGCAGCGACGCCGCGUGGGUGAAGGAGCGUUUCGGCGCGUAAAGCCCUAUCGGCAGGGAAGAAGGAGGACGGUACCUGACGAAGAAGCCCCGGCUAACUACGUGCCAGCAGCCGCGGUAAUACGUAGGGGGCAAGCGUUAUCCGGAUUGACUGGGUGUAAAGGGGGCGCAGACGGCGGCGCAAGCCAGGAGUGAAAGCCCGGGGCCCAACCCCGGGACUGCUCUUGAAACUACGCGGCUGGAGUGCAGGAGGGGCAGGCGGAAUUCCUGGUGUAGCGGUGAAAUGCGUAGAUAUCAGGAGGAACACCGGUGGCGAAGGCGGCCUGCUGGACUGCGACUGACGUUGAGGCCCGAAAGCGUGGGGAGCAAACAGGAUUAGAUACCCCAGUAGUC